GAUGAACGCUGGCGAUAGGCUUAACACAUGCAAGUCGAGGGGCAGCAUAUUCGAAGCUUGCUUUGAAUGAUGGCGACCGGCGCACGGGUGCGUAACGCGUAUGUAACCUGCCCGUCAGAAGGGGAUAACCCGGUGAAAGUCGGGCUAAUACCCUGUAUGCUCACGAGAGGCGCCUGCCUUGGUGAGGAAAGAUUUAUCACUGACAGAUGGACAUGCGUCCCAUUAGCUGGUUGGUAUGGUAACGGCCUACCAAGGCAACGAUGGGUAGGGAACUGAGAGGUUUAUCCCCCACAUUGGUACUGAGGCACGGACCAA
rnacentral:rRNA from 1 species